UACGUAGGUGGCAAGCGUUGUUCGGAAUUAUUGGGCGUAAAGGGCGCGUAGGCGGCUCGUUAAGUCGGCUGUGAAAGCCCGGGGCUCAACCCCGGAGAGUCGGCCGAUACUGGCGAGCUAGAGUACGGAAGAGGUAGCUGGAAUUCCCGGUGUAGCGGUGAAAUGCGUAGAUAUCAUAAGGAACACCGGUGGCGAAGGCGGUUACCUGGAAGAUUCCUGACUCUGAAACACGAAAGCCAGGGGAGCAAACGGG
rnacentral:rRNA from 1 species